rnacentral:rRNA from 1 species
GGCGGACGGGUGAGUAACGCGUGGGAAUAUGCCCUUCUCUAAGGAAUAGCCUCUGGAAACGGAGAGUAAUACCUUAUACGCCCUUUGGGGGAAAGAUUUAUCGGAGAAGGAUUAGCCCGCGUUAGAUUAGGUAGUUGGUGGGGUAAUGGCCUACCAAGCCUACGAUCUAUAGCUGGUUUGAGAGGAUGAUCAGCCACACUGGGACUGAGACACGGCCCAGACUCCUACGGGAGGCAGCAGUAGGGAAUCUUAGACAAUGGGGGCAACCCUGAUCUAGCCAUGCCGCGUGUGUGAUGAAGGCCCUAGGGUCGUAAAGCACUUUCGCCAGAGAUGAUAAUGACAGUAUCUGGUAAAGAAACCCCGGCUAACUCCGUGCCAGCAGCCGCGGUAAUACGGAGGGGGUUAGCGUUGUUCGGAAUUACUGGGCGUAAAGCGCACGUAGGCGGAUUAGUAAGUUAGAGGUGAAAUCCCAGGGCUCAACCCUGGAACUGCCUUUAAUACUGCUAGUCUUGAGUUCGAGAGAGGUAAGUGGAAUUCCGAGUGUAGAGGUGAAAUUCGUAGAUAUUCGGAGGAACACCAGUGGCGAAGGCGGCUUACUGGCUCGAUACUGACGCUGAGGUGCGAAAGUGUGGGGAGCAAACAGGAUUAGAUACCCUGGUAGUCCACACCGU